AUGUAUGCAUGCUUUUUGUUUUUGUUGUGCCUUGUUUUCCGUUUAUCUUUGCUGCGCCUUUUUAGUUUUAAUUGUUAUUUACCUUCAUCCGACCGAAUUGAGCUAUCGGAGGUGCUGCGGUCUUUUGGCAAACAUGCUCUAUAUUCUAUGGUUUGGCAUCUACAGGAUGCCAUCUCAGGUCAUGGAUCCACUGUGGCUGCUUCGUCCUUCACUGAGAUCAGAGCAUUUUGUGCUUGGUGGCCUUCUUCGCCGACUUCAUGGGCAUGUCAGCCCUCAUCUCCACUUCGUCAUCGACGACAUCUACGACCACGACACCUGGCACCUUGGUACGCAAAUUAA
rnacentral:rRNA from 1 species